GGACGCAAUCCAGCGAGUUCACUUCUUUUAACCUUUCAUUCAAUACAGCUGAGAAUUUUGGUAAUUAAUCAAACUGUCGUUUCUCUUCCAACACACAAAAACCACGGAGCCAAGACAUCAGAGGGCUGAGCAGUUCAAAUAUUUACUCCACUCUGUGUAAUAAUUAAAGAAGAGCAGGACGAACCUGACAACGCAAGAAGAAUGAGCCAGCUUCAUUAUGCAGGCAAGAACAAUAAUGGUGGCGUGACAGCGCCUCAGAGAUCUUGGAUGGCUUUCGACCGCUGUCCUCGUGAUCGUGUGGCUGUACUCGGCUCGCUGGCAGACCCAAAGCGAACCGGCUGAACUGAGGCCUAGACCUCGUCUUUUUCCUCCCACACAUUGUGUCAUAACACAGAUUAAACCUACUACACUUAGAUGCCAUGUCUAGGAAGACAUAUGAUAAUUAAAAAUCAUGAUGCAGCGAACACGGACACGUUUAUGCUGCACGGAGUCAUCAACACACCGGCCACAAUGUAAUGUAUCUUCAUAACAAGUGGUAAAGUUUUUGGAAAGAAAAAAAAAAACAACACAGCUCACAUGCUUGCAUUUGUGCAACAAAUGUUUAGAGUUCCCAUUUCUGGACGCCACCGUCUCCCGACAGCUCCAAAUAAAUGAGGUGCUGAGAUGUGGUGCCCGUUUGUUUUUAACAGACU